GUCAGAAUGGCCGAGCGGUCUAAGGGUCUGCGUUAAGAUCGCAGUCUCUCCUGGAGGCGUUGGUUCGAAUCCCACUUCUGACA